rfam:Schistosoma curassoni strain Dakar, Senegal genome assembly, scaffold: SCTD_scaffold0008214
AUCCAGCUGACGAGUCCCAAACAGAACGGAACGGGCUUCCUGGAU